rnacentral:rRNA from 1 species
UACGUAGGGGGCAAGCGUUAUCCGGAUUUACUGGGUGUAAAGGGAGCGUAGACGGUUAUGCAAGUCAGAAGUGAAAGCCCAAUGCUCAACUUCGGGACUGCUUUUGAAACUGUGUAACUAGAGUGCAGGAGGGGUAAGCGGAAUUCCUAGUGUAGCGGUGAAAUGCGUAGAUAUUAGGAGGAACACCGGCGGCGAAGGCGGCUUACUGGACUGUAACUGACGUUGAGGCUCGAAAGCGUGGGGAGCAAACAGG